UCAGCCAUGCCGCGUGAGUGAUGAAGGCCUUAGGGUUGUAAAGCUCUUUCACCGGAGAAGAUAAUGACGGUAUCCGGAGAAGAAGCCCCGGCUAACUUCGUGCCAGCAGCCGCGGUAAUCACCGGGGGGCUAGCGUUGUUCGGAAUUACU
rnacentral:rRNA from 1 species